AAAGACUUAGUCCUAACCUUACCAUUAAUUCUCGCCAGACCUAUACAUGCAAGUAUCCGCGCCCCAGUGUAAAUGCCCUCAACCCCUACUAAGACAAGAGGAGCAGGCAUCAGGCACACACCCACUGUAGCCCAAAACGCCUUGCACAGCCACACCCCCACGGGUACUCAGCAGUAACUAACAUUAAGCAAUAAGUGUAAACUUGACUUAGUCAUAGCGACCCAGGGUCGGUAAAUCUUGUGCCAGCCACCGCGGCCAUACAAGAGACCCAAAUUAAUCGUAUACGGCGUAAAGAGUGGUUCAAUACUAUCGUCCCCAACUGCGGUUAAAGUCUAUCCAAGCUGUCAUAAGCCCAAGAUACCCCUAAACCCCCUCUCCCAAACACCUCAGUCCCCAACGAUUGACCAACCCCACGAAAGCCGAGAGACAAACUGGGAUUAGAUACCCCACUAUGCUCGGCCAUAAAUCUAGAUGCUUACCCCACCCAAACAUCCGCCAGGGAACUACGAGCACAAACGCUUAAAACCCUAAGGACUUGGCGGUGUCUCAAACCCACCUAGAGGAGCCUGUUCUAUAAUCGAUAACCCACGCUACACCCAACCCCUCCUUGUUCAACAGCCUACAUACCGCCGUCGUCAGCUCACCUCCUCUGAGAGACAAACAGUGAACACAAUAGCCCCCCGCUAAAAAGACAGGUCAAGGUAUAGCCUAUGGAGGGGAAGAAAUGGGCUACAUUUUCUGACACAGAUAACCUACGAAAGAGAAUUUGAAACAACUCUCGGAAGGCGGAUUUAGCAGUAAAACAUGACCAUCAUGCUCAUUUUAAGCCGGCCCUGAGACACGUACAUACCGCCCGUCACCCUCCUCGCAAGCCACACCCUCAUAACCUAUAACCACACCUAGCCAAAGACGAGGUAAGUCGUAACAAGGUAAGUGUACCGGAAGGUGCACUUAGCAUAC
rnacentral:ncRNA from 1 species